rnacentral:rRNA from 1 species
UACGGGGGGGGCAAGCGUUGUUCGGAAUUACUGGGCGUAAAGGGCCAGUAGGCGGCCAACUAAGUCGGAUGUGAAAUCCCCAGGCUCAACUUGGGAACUGCAUCCGAUACUGGAUGGCUUGAAUUCGGGAGAGGGAUGCAGAAUUCCAGGUGUAGCGGUGAAAUGCGUAGAUAUCUGGAGGAAUACCGGUGGCGAAGGCGGCAUCCUGGACCGACAUUGACGCUGAACGGCGAAAAGCUAGGGGAGCAAACGGG